rnacentral:rRNA from 1 species
GGGGAAAAGGGGAGCUUACACGUGCAGUCGAGGGGUAGAAGUCUUCGGGCUUUGAGACCGGCGCACGGGUGCGUAACGCGUAUGCAAUCUACCUUUUACAGGGGGAUAGCCCAGAGAAAUUUGGAUUAAUACCCCAUGGUAUAGUGAGUUGGCAUCAACCCACUAUUAAAGUCACAACGGUAAAAGAUGAGCAUGCGUCCCAUUAGCUAGAUGGUAAGGUAACGGCUUACCAUGGCUACGAUGGGUAGGGGUCCUGAGAGGGAGAUCCCCCACACUGGUACUGAGACACGGACCAGACUCAAACGGGAGGCAGCAGUGAGGAAUAUUGGACAAUGGGCGCAAGCCUGAUCCAGCCAUGCCGCGUGCAGGAUGACGGUCCUAUGGAUUGUAAACUGCUUUUGUACGAGAAGAAACACUCCUUCGUGAAGGAAUUUGACGGUAUCGUAAGAAUAAGGAUCGGCUAACUCCGUGCCAGCAGCCGCGGUAAUACGGAGGAUCCAAGCGUUAUCCGGAAUCAUUGGGUUUAAAGGGUCCGUAGGCGGUUUAGUAAGUCAGUGGUGAAAGCCCAUCGCUCAACGGUGGAACGGCCAUUGAUACUGCUGAACUUGAAUUAUUAGGAAGUAACUAGAAUAUGUAGUGUAGCGGUGAAAUGCUUAGAGAUUACAUGGAAUACCAAUUGCGAAGGCAGGUUACUACUAAUGGAUUGACGCUGAUGGACGAAAGCGUGGGUAGCGAACAGGAUUAGAUACCCUGGUAGUCCACGCCGUAAACGAUGGAUACUAGCUGUUGGGCGCAAGUUCAGUGGCUAAGCGAAAGUGAUAAGUAUCCCACCUGGGGAGUACGAACGCAAGUUUGAAACUCAAAGGAAUUGACGGGGGCCCGCACAAGCGGUGGAGCAUGUGGUUUAAUUCGAUGAUACGCGAGGAACCUUACCAAGGCUUAAAUGUAGAUUGACCGUUUUGGAAACAGAACUUUCGCAAGACAAUUUACAAGGUGCUGCAUGGUUGUCGUCAGCUCGUGCCGUGAGGUGUCAGGUUAAGUCCUAUAACGAGCGCAACCCCUGUUGUUAGUUGCCAUCGAGUCAAGUCGGGAACUCUAACAAGACUGCCAGUGCAAACUGUGAAGGAAGGUGGGGAUGACGUCAAAUCAUCCC